rnacentral:rRNA from 1 species
UGCAGUCGAGCGSCACCCAAGGGGAGNGGCACACGGGUGAGUAACGCGUGGGAACCUACCUUUUGCUACGGAAUAACUCAGGGAAACUUGUGCUAAUACCGUAUGUGCCCUUCGGGGGAAACAUUUAUCGGCAANGGAUCGGCCCGCGUUGGAUUAGCUCGUUGGUGAGGUAAAGGCCCACCAAGGCGACUAUCCAUAGCUGGUCUGANAGGAUGAUCAACCACACUGGGACUGAGACACGGCCCAAACUCCUACGGGAGGCAGCAGUGGGGAAUAUUGCACAAUGGGCGCAAGCCUGAUCCAUCCAUGCCGCGUGAGUGAUGAAGGCCCUAUGGUUGUAAAGCUCUUUCACCGGUGAAGAUAAUGACGGUAACCGGAGAAGAAGCCCCGGCUAACUUCGUGCC